rnacentral:rRNA from 1 species
GAUGAACGCUAGCGGCAGGCCUAACACAUGCAAGUCGAGGGAGAAGCCCUUUCGGGGGCAGAAACCGGCGCACGGGUGCGUAACGCGUAUGCAACCUACCUUUCACAGGGGGAUAGCCCGAAGAAAUUUGGAUUAAUACCCCAUAAUAUUGUUGGAUGGCAUCAUCUGGCAAUUAAAACUGCGGUGGUGGAAGAUGGGCAUGCGUCCUAUUAGCUAGUUGGAGUGGUAACGGCACCCCAAGGCUACGAUAGGUAGGGGUCCUGAGAGGGAGAUCCCCCACACUGGUACUGAGACAGGGACCAGACUCCUACGGGAGGCAGCAGUGAGGAAUAUUGGUCAAUGGUCGGAAGACUGAACCAGCCAUGCCGCGUGCAGGAAGAAUGCCUUAUGGGUUGUAAACUGCUUUUAUAUGGGAAGAAUAAGGCGUACG